GACGAACGCUGGCGGCGUGCUUAACACAUGCAAGUCGAACGGAAAGGCUCUGCUUGCAGGGUACUCUAGUGGCGAACGGGUGAGUAACACGUGGGUGAUCUGCCCUGCACUUCGGGAUAAGCCUGGGAAACUGGGUCUAAUACCGGAUAGGAGCGAUUUUUAUUGUGAUGGUUGGAAAGUUUUUUCGGUUUCGGAUGAGCUCGCGGCCUAUCAGCUUGUUGGUGGGUAAUGGCCGUCCAAGGCGGCCACGGGUAGCCGGCCUGAGAGGGUGGACGGCCACAUUGGGCCUAGGAUCUCGCCCAGACUCCUACCGGAGGCAGGAGUGGGGAAUAUUGCAACAUGGUCGCAAGACUGAGGCAGAGACGCCGCGUGGGGGAUGACGCCCUUCGGGUUGUAAACCCCUUUCGCUAGGGACGAAGCUUUUUGUGACGGUACCUAGACAAGAAGCACCGGCUAACUACGUG
rnacentral:rRNA from 1 species